GUCAGUUAAUUAAGCACCUCAAUGAUGCCAGUGCUCUGAACCACCUUAUCUUCCAUUCUCUUGGCUUUCCCUUCAUGUCCCAACAUGGACCUUCACUGUGAAGAAGCUUGAUAAGCCAGAGCGUGGAAAGAUAUACCACCAAGACAGACUGAGCCUGACUCAAAGUGAAGUCGCAAAGAAACGUGAUUAAGAGACAAACUCCAUCUUGAUCACCAGACCACAUCUUCGGGAAUUCCACCUCAUUUCGGAAUAAAAACACUUCACUUCGUGCCA